AAUGAGCUAUCGCAUCCGGCCUCGUGUUCUUUUUUAUUAAAGAUAGAAAUCAACUAUUCAGGAUCAGUCCCCACCUUUCCUCAAGAGCCAUUUCUGUUCUGCACAGGCCUGCUGAACUGGGUGCUUUACAUAGGACAUGGUCAUCUCUCAAGUAUCCAUCUUGGAGGGUAUGGACCCCAUAUGACAGUGAGGCUCUCUGCACACUCCAGAGUGAGGACAUGAAGAAUCUAGUGGAUGGUACUGGAAGGGUAAAAGCGGGGUGCCAAAGGUCUAGAGGGAGAAGAAUUGACUGACCCUUUUGCUCUCGGAGUUAAGCAGAAAUCUAAAGGGAAGGCAAAGAGCCUUGCCUUCCCGGCAUUAUUGCCUCCCACCAUCCCGGGCCAUCAUUUAUUUAUCACAGCCAACAGGCUGGCCUCUUUCUUCCCUUUGACUGUGAAUGGGUCACAGGCAGUGCAGGAGGAGUAUCUAGUCCAGAUAAUUCACAAGCAGUUCUCACAGUUCUUGCUAUUGAGAACCAUGAGUGUUUAUUAAGAAGGCAGAACUGGAGAAGAUGAACCAAUCUUCUUCCCCUCAAUACCCAGAUCCCUGCCUCCUAAGGAGCUCUGUGUUCACCCUGUCAAAGAGUCUUUACAUUCAGACCAAGGAGAGUGUGGCCCCUCCUCAGCACUAAGUUAGAAACCUCAAGCCCUUGCUCGAGGGCAUUCUUCAGAGAGACCCAAUGCCCAGAGGGCUAGGUGCAGGGUGGGGAGGCGGGGAGGAGCUGCAUAUGAGAUACUGCCUCCCUGCAUCGGGUCAGAACAAGCCCCAGGAAGAAACGAUUCCAAACAACAAGGUGUAUCUGCCCCAACCCACCCAGUCUGCAUGUCGGUGCUGAGAACAGCCUUUUAUGGGGCUUGCAUUGAGCCACGGGCAUGUCUGAACACAACAAGCAAGAGGCCAGAGCAGCAACUGCACAGCAACGGGCUGAUGGGCAUUCCUUUUCAGAGAGGGCAGAAAACUAUCUGACGCAGUCUAUGGAAGCCAGGUUAGCUUUCCUCCUUCCUCCCUAAAUCCUCCAUCCUCAUGCCCAACCAAGGAAUAGUUGAAUCAUUUUCCAGGCACAUCUGGGGGAGGAUGUGGGGCCAUUGGAGGCUGGCCUUCCUAGAUAAGUCUUUAGGAGUGAGAACAAGGAGUCUUACCCUCCUCUGUCCACCCACCCCAUGAAUGGGCCUGGCUCCUGCCAGGAGUUGUAGUUUUUCGUGAGUGCCUCACCUACCUCUUCUGGAUUUCACACUGGCAAACGGGGCAGCAAAGUGCUCUUCCUGCUCUCUGAACAAUGCCUUGUGGAGAGGAAUGCGCAUGCCCCUGCAUUCCACGGCCUUGGUAAGCAAGAUCAGAGUAGCUGGGUUUUUCUAAAGCAAUUGCAGAACACCUGCCUUCUCUCUGUUUCCUCUAGAAAGGGCCAACCACACUGAGCUCAGUUAUGGCACACACAGCAGGACCCAGACAAAGGGAGAGGGUGACCAGCAUCCCAACUAGGUAAACACAGAGGAGGUUCCACAUGGACUUCUCUGGGGUGGCUGCUUUGAAAAUGAGAAACAGUCAAGAGUCCGUGGCCUUGCAGACCCGUCUCCCAAUGCACCCAGCAGGUGCAAGGACGUUUUGAUGAACUAGCUCUCUGCAGCCUCCUUGAAGGAUGUGAUCCUUGCGGAGGGGUAGGAGUUUUCAGGUCCUUGACAUCUCCCAAGUGUGUGAUUCAAGGAUGACAAAGGCCUUUGGCCAGGUAAUGCAGUGUUCACAGGCUGGGCUUGACAUGCGUCCCCACCCUCUGAGAAAAAGAUCCUCGGGUAAUCCAUGUGCUUCUCUUGUCCUUCAUUCCACCGGAGUCUGUCUCAUACCCAACCAGAUUUCAGUGGAGUGAAGUUCAGGAGGCAUGGAGCUGACGACGAUGAGGCCCCUGCAGCCACAGCAGCAACAAGGGUAACUCUGACUUAGGAACCGAGACAGCCAGAGAGAAAUGUGAUCAAUGAAAGAGACAUCUGGACUGCACAUACUUCUGCAGAGGGGACUGGUGACAGGCAGAUUGGAAAAAGCACCACAGAUGGGAACCACUUAAUCUUUCUUUUCUAAAAUUGAUGCUAUGAAAAUUUGCGUUUUCUGUAACUUAUGAAACUUAAAGGUUGUCUGUCUACUGAAAA